rnacentral:rRNA from 1 species
GGCUUAGAGUUUGAUCAUGGCUCAGGACGAACGCUGGCGGCGCGCCUAACACAUGCAAGUCGAACGGAGUUGUGUUGAAAGCUUGCUGGAUAUGCAACUUAGUGGCGGACGGGUGAGUAACACGUGAGUAACCUGCCUUUCAGAGUGGAAUAACGUUUGGAAACGAACGCUAAUACCGCAUAACAUAGUUUCCGGGCAUCCGGAGACUAUCAAAGAUUUUAUCGCUGAGAGAUGGGCUCGCGGCCGAUUAGGUAGUUGGUGAGAUAACAGCCCACCAAGCCGACGAUCGGUAGCCGGACUGAGAGGUUGAACGGCCACAUUGGGACUGAGACACGGCCCAGACUCCUACGGGAGGCAGCAGUGGGGGAUAUUGCACAAUGGAGGAAACUCUGAUGCAGCGACGCCGCGUGAGGGAAGACGGUCUUCGGAUUGUAAACCUCUGUCUUUAGGGACGAAAAAAUGACGGUACCUAAGGAGGAAGCCACGGCUAACUACGUGCCAGCAGCCGCGGUAAUACGUAGGUGGCAAGCGUUGUCCGGAAUUACUGGGUGUAAAGGGAGCGUAGGCGGGGAGACAAGUUGAAUGUUUAAACUAUCGGCUCAACUGAUAGUCGCGUUCAAAACUAUCACUCUUGAGUGCAGUAGAGGUAGGCG